AAAGAAAAAAAAAACUCUAACCCACCACUUCCCACCGGUGGUUGCAUUGCAGUGGUAGAUCCGGCGAGGCGAGAGCAGCAGUAACCCCCACGGCAAGCGCCAUGUCCGACGAAUCGCCGGCGCCGGCGGCGACGGCCGCGGAGGCCGGGAAGACCCAGCAAGACGAGCAGGCCGGAGGAGGGUGGGGAGGCUGGGGCCUCUCCGUGUUCUCCGAGAUCUCCCGCGGCGCGGUGGAGGUCGCCAAGAGCGCCAUCGCCGACAUCCAGCAGCCGCCGGAGCAGGAGGCGGGGCCCGGAGAGGGGGGAGACAAGGGGAAUAACGAGCCGGAGGGGGAGGAGGGGGACGAGCGCCGCAAGGCGGCGCUGGAUAAGCUGGAGGACGCCAGCGAGGACUCGCUCCUGGGCCAGGGGCUCAAGGUGUUUGAUACCUCGGUGGAGAGCAUCACGACCGGAACGUGGCAGGCGCUUGGAAGUGCGUGGAGGAGUGGCUCGCUAAUUGUUCAGAACCUUGCUGAAACCAUUCAACAAGGAGAACUACCUGCCAAAGCAUCUGAAAUAGCACCAACCAUUUUAGAGACAGGGAAGUCAUUUACAGCCAAAGGAAUGGAAAUGCUUGAGCGUGUUGGAAAAGAGACGAUGGAGUUGAUCAUUGAAGAGACUGGUAUGGAAAUUGAAAAGGGUGGUACUGGCGAAGGUGACGAGCAAACAGAAGAGGAACAGUCUGAAGAAGUAUCAUUCGACAGAUGUUUCUACAUUUAUGGAGGACCUGAUCAGUUGGAGGAACUGGAAGCACUGUCAAGCCACUAUGCGCUGCUAUUUAAUAGGAAGAAAACAAAACUUGUUGCUGAGCAGAAAACGUAUUAUGAUGGAAAGAUCAAAGAAAUACAGCAGCUAUUUACUCUUAGUACCAAGAUUGAGGAAGAUGGACCAGACUCUGACAAAGGGAAGAAGAUUGAAGCAGCUGAUACUGAUGGUGAUGCAGAAAUGAAGAAGUUAUGUGACUCGAGUGUGAGCAAGGCUGCUAAAAUGGCUGCGGGGUUCGCAACUGGCUUGGGUGGACUUUCUCCGAGUGAUAUCAUCAAACGAACUACAGAUAGGCUAGAGACCAUUCACUCGGAGGGCGUUCAUAGAUUGUCAGAGAUGUGCUGCCUUGCAGUUUCUCAGCUUCUGGUGCUUGGGAAAUCAGUUAUCUCUGCUGCCAACAAAUCAAACGACGAAGAUGAAAGUGAUGUGAAAAUCGAUUGGCCUGAAGAUCUCAUCUCGAAGGCAGAAAUCAUCAGAUGGAGGGCACAAUCCAUCGCUGUGGAUAUCGAGAAGGUCGCCACAAGUUUUGCUACAGGCAUCUCAGAUGUUGCGGAAGCUUAUGCAGCAGCGAUACAGAAUGCUCUGGCAGACAAGCAGGGCGAUGUCCCGCAUCAGUCGGUGCAGGAGAAAGCCAAGGAUAUAUCCAGCCAUCUGAAAUCCGACCAGACGAGUGCCAUCAGCAAGUUACAAGACGCCCUCCAGUACCUCGCAUACGUCGUUGUCUGCACCUCGAUGCCAAGUGUUUAGUCCUGGAGUGCCUCCUCCCCACUGUUGUUAUUGUUAACCUCUUCCUGUACAUUUUGUGUGCGCGGGUAGGCAGAGUUAGGGCCUCUAGCUAGUUAUGAAAGCUACACUGGUUGGCUUGUGGUGUGUUUGUUCAAGCGUCGUGAAAUCAGUAAUUGGCUGUGUCUCGUUUGUAUUUCUUGGCACAUGGCAGAUUGUUGCUCUCUACUUUUUCCUGAGAACAAUGAGAAUUACUGAUAUAUGCAAUUGAGAUAGAAGUUUACCUAAGCGCCAUCAUUUAGUAGACAUAUAGUAUAUACACAAUAUUAGUUGUUUCUUAU
rnacentral:rRNA from 1 species